AUUGAACGCUGGCGGCAGGCCUAACACAUGCAAGUCGAACGAGUCGCGGACGGGUGAGAAAUGUCUGGGACACUGCCUGAUGGAGGGGGAUAACUACUGGAACCGGUAGCUAAUCCCGCAAUCUGUCAGAUGUGCCGAGAUGGGAUUAGCUUGUUGGUGGGGUAACGGCUCACCAAGGCGACGAUCCCGAGUUGGUCUGAGAGGAUGACCGGGCACACUGGAACUGUGAGACGGUCCAGACGCCUACGGGAGGCAGCAGUGGGGAAGUUUGGACAAUGGGCGCAAGCCUGAUGCAGCCAUGCCGCGUGUAUGAAGAAGGCCUUCGGGUUGUAAAGUACUUUCAGCGGUGAGGCGUUACCCGCAGAAGAAGCACCGGCUAACUCCGUGCCAGCCGCCGCGGUAAUAC
rnacentral:rRNA from 1 species